rnacentral:rRNA from 1 species
GAUGAACGCUGGCGGCGUGGAUAAGGCAUGCAAGUCAAACGGCACUUCGGAUUUAUUCGAAGUGCAGUGGCAGACGAGGUAGUAACAUGUGGGAACUCACCCUAAAGUCAGGAAUAACUGGCCGAAAGGUCGGAUAAUACUUGAUAGUCCCUUCUAUUAAUUUAGUUGGGUAAAGAUUUAUCGCUUUACGAGAGGCCCGCACAGUAUCAGCUAGUUGGUAAGGUAAAAGCUUACCAAGGCUAUGACGCUUAGGGGAGGUGAGAGCCUGACCCCCACCGAUGGAACUGAGACACGGUCCAUACACCUACGGGUGGCCGCAGUCGAGAAUCUUCCGCAAUGGACGAAAGUCUGACGAAGCGACGCCGCGUGAUUGAUGAAGCCCUUCGGGGUGUAAAAAUCUUUUAUGAAGGAGGAAGUUUAU